AUGUUGACGGAGAAGUGGGAUGCUACUGGCCAACCUUUGGCGGAAACAAAGCUGUGAAGGCCGCCAUGAACUGCACCCCCCCGGGACAAGGAUGGCGAUUCCAUCAAAAAAUAAGGGUGCUGGCAACCUGUGGCACCUUUGCCAAAGCAAGACGUUACCUGACCCGAUCGCUUGAGGAAGGCUGCCUUACAGCAGACCUGCAAUCGGAUGAUGGUGAGAUGGGGCCAAGGAAAAGACGACCAAACAAAAGGUAUUUGGAGGAGGACAGCGAGGAGGAGGC